rnacentral:rRNA from 1 species
GAACGCUAGCGGCAGGCUUAACACAUGCAAGUCGAGGGGUAUGCCGAUUUAUCGGCAGAGACCGGCGCACGGGUGCGUAACGCGUAUGCAAUCUACCUUCACAGAGGGAUAGCCCAGAGAAAUUUGGAUUAAUACCUCAUAGUAUAGCAGUUUCGCAUGAAACCACUAUUAAAGUUCCAACGGUGAAAGAUGAGCAUGCGUCCCAUUAGCUAGAUGGUAAGGUAACGGCUUACCAUGGCUACGAUGGGUAGGGGUCCUGAGAGGGAGAUCCCCCACACUGGUACUGAGACACGGACCAGACUCCUACGGGAGGCAGCAGUGAGGAAUAUUGGUCAAUGGGCGCAAGCCUGAACCAGCCAUGCCGCGUGCAGGAAGACGGUCCUAUGGAUUGUAAACUGCUUUUAUACAGGAAGAAACCCUCCCACGUGUGGGAGCUUGACGGUACUGUAGGAAUAAGGAUCGGCUAACUCCGUG